rnacentral:rRNA from 1 species
UACGUAGGGGGCAAGCGUUGUCCGGAAUCACUGGGCGUAAAGCGCGUGUAGGCGGCUCGGUAAGUCUGCUGUGAAAGUCCAGGGCUCAACCCUGGGAUGCCGGUGGAUACUGUCGAGCUCGAGUCCGGAAGAGGCGAGUGGAAUUCCUGGUGUAGCGGUGAAAUGCGCAGAUAUCAGGGGGAACACCAAUGGCGAAGGCAGCUCGCUGGGACGUGACUGACGCUGAGACGCGAAAGCGUGGGGAGCAAACAGG